AUCUCUUGGUUCCAGCAUCGAUAAAGAACGCAGCGAAAUGCGAUAAGUAAUGUGAAUUGCAAAAUUCAGUGAAUCAUCGAAUCUUUGAACGCACAUUGCGCCCCUCGGUAUUCCGGGGGGCAUACCUGUUCGAGCGUCAUU
rnacentral:rRNA from 1 species